rnacentral:rRNA from 1 species
CCUACGGGCGGCAGCAGUGAGGAAUAUUGGUCAAUGGGCGUAAGCCUGAACCAGCCAAGUCGCGUGAGGGAUGAAGGUUCUAUGGGUCGUAAACCGCUUUUAGAAGGGAAUAAAGUGUGGGACGUGAGCUGUUUUGUAUGUAUCUUAUGAAUAAGGAGCGGCUAACUCCGUGCCAGAAGCCGCGGUAAUACGGAGGAGCCGAGCGUUAUCCGGAGUUAUGGGGGUUAAAGGGUGCGUAGGCGGCCUUUUAAGUCAGCGGUGAAAGUCUGUGGCUCAACCAUAGAAUUGCCGUUGAAACUGGAAGGCUUGAGUAUGCUUGAGGCAGGCGGAAUGCGUGGUGUAGCGGUGAAAUGCUUAGAUAUCACGCAGAACCCCGAGUGCGAAGGCAGCCUGCCAGGCCAUGACUGACGCUGAGGCACGAAAGCGUGGGGAUCAAACAGGAUUAGAUACCCGAGUAGUC